UACGGGGGGAGCAAGCGUUGUUCGGAUUUACUGGGCGUAAAGGGCGCGUAGGCGGCCAGCACAAGUCAGUUGUGAAAUCUCCGAGCUUAACUCGGAACGGUCAACUGAUACUGUGCGGCUAGAGUGCGGAAGGGGCAACUGGAAUUCUUGGUGUAGCGGUGAAAUGCGUAGAUAUCAAGAGGAACACCUGCGGCGAAGGCGGGUCUCUGGGCCGAUAUCGACGCUGAGGAGCGAAAGCGUGGGGAGCGAACAGG
rnacentral:rRNA from 1 species